UACGUAGGGCCCAAGCAUUAUCCGGAAUUACUGGGCGUAAAGAGUGCGUAGGUGUUUCUUCAAGUCGGUCGUUAAAUCUUAGAGCUUAACUCUAAGGCCGCGAGCGAUACUGAAGGAAUUGAGUACUGCAGGGGCAAGCAGAAUUCUUGGAGUAGGGGUGAAAUCCGUUGAUACCAAGAGGAAUACCAAUGGCGAAGGCAGCUUGCUAGGCAGAUACUGACACUGAGGCACGAAAGCGUGGGGAGCAAACGGG
rnacentral:rRNA from 1 species